UCCUUCGGGAGCCGAGUAGAGUGGCGCACGGGUGAGUAACACGUAGGUAAUUUGCCUUCGGGUGGGGAAUAACAGCCGGAAACGGCUGCUAAUACCGCAUAAUGCAGCGGCUCGACAUCGAGACAGUUGUUAAAGCGGGGGAUUCGCAAGAACCUCGCGCCUGAAGAGAAGCCUGCGGCAGAUUAGCUAGUUGGUAAGGUAAUGGCUUACCAAGGCGACGAUCUGUAACCGGCCUGAGAGGGCGGUCGGUCACACUGACACUGACAUACGGGUCAGACUCCUACGGGAGGCAGCAGUCGGGAAUUUUGGGCAAUGGGCGAAAGCCUGACCCAGCAACGCCGCGUGAAGGAUGAAAUCCCUCGGGAUGUAAACUUCGCAAGAAUGGGAAGAAUAAGUGGGGGACAAUACCCCCCAUGAUGACGGUACCAUUUGUAAGCUCCGGCUAACUCCGUGCCAGCAGCCGCGGUAAUACGGGGGGAGCAAGCGUUGUUCGGAUUUACUGGGCGUAAAGGGCGCGUAGGCGGUCGUGACAAGUCACUUGUGAAAUCUCCGGGCUUAACUCGGAACGGUCAAGUGAUACUGUCGGACUAGAGUACAGAAGGGGCAACUGGAAUUCUCGGUGUAGCGGUGAAAUGCGUAGAUAUCGAGAGGAACACCUGCGGCGAAGGCGGGUUGCUGGGCUGAUACUGACGCUGAGGCGCGAA
rnacentral:rRNA from 1 species